UCCAUUCACUGGUAAACAUGUAAGCUGGAAAUCGCUAUUCAGGAACAAAGGGAAAGCUGGACACACUCAUCUCAUCUUGAUCAUUGGUGGUUGCAGAAACAGAAUCAGACAUCUAAAGCAUGUGCCGCUGCCAAGUCUGCGGAGUUCUGGUGCCAAGCUGCUCCUCCACAUCUUAACAGUAGCUAAAUGUCUCAUCGCCUUAUUCUGGAAACGAUCGAACUCACCAUCACGCCCAGAUUUAUAUUCCUUUAGACUAUGGAAUACCUUUUAGCACUUUCUCACAAGA